AGUAUAAUUGCUGGGGUAUAUGGUACAUGCAUUUUUAAUUUUAUAAGAAACUGCCAGACUGUUUUCCAGAGUAGCCAUGCCAUUUUAAAUUCCCACCAGCAAU
rnacentral:pre_miRNA from 1 species